rnacentral:tRNA from 1 species
GAAAGGUGGCUGAGUGGUUUAAAGCGACGCUUUGCUAAGGCGUUAUAUGAUAAAUAUCGUGGGUUCAAAUCCCAUUCUUUCC